rnacentral:rRNA from 1 species
UGGAUCCAGACUUUGAUCCUGGCUCAGGACGAACGCUGGCGGCGCGCCUAACACGUGCAAGUCGAACGGAGAAAGAUACAGCUUGCUGGAUUUUUCUUAGUGGCGGACGGGUGAGUAACACGUGAGCAACCUGCCCUUCAGAGCGGGAUAACGUUUGGAAACGAGCGCUAAUACUGCAUGACAUCCCGGGAUGGCAUCGUUCUGGGAUCAAAGAUUUAUCGCUGAAGGAUGGGCUCGCGUCCGAUUAGGUAGUUGGUGAGAUAACAGCCCACCAAGCCGACGAUCGGUAGCCGGACUGAGAGGUUGAUCGGCCACAUUGGGACUGAGACACAGCCCAGACUCCUACGGGAGGCAGCAGUGGGGGAUAUUGCACAAUGGGGGAAACCCUGAUGCAGCGACGCCGCGUGAGGGAAGACGGUUUUCGGAUUGUAAACCUCUGUCUUUGGGGACGAAUAGAUGACGGUACCCAAGGAGGAAGCCACGGCUAACUACGUGCCAGCAGCCGCGGUAAUACGUAGGUGGCAAGCGUUGUCCGGAAUUACUGGGUGUAAAGGGAGCGUAGGCGGGUCUACAAGUUGACUGUAUAAACGAUCGGCUCAACUGGUCGUGGCGAUCAAAACUGUAGAUCUCGAGUGGAGUAGAGGCAGGCGGAAUUCCUAGUGUAGCGGUGAAAUGCGUAGAUAUUAGGAGGAACACCAGUGGCGAAGGCGGUCUGCUGGGCUCUAACUGACGCUGAGGCUCGAAAGCGUGGGUAGCAAACAGGAUUAGAUACCCUGGUAGUCCACGCCGUAAACGAUGAUUACUAGGUGUGGGUGGACUGACCCCAUCCGUGCCGGAGUUAACACAAUAAGUAAUCCACCUGGGGAGUACGACCGCAAGGUUGCAACUCAAAGGAAUUGACGGA